ensembl:lncRNA
GAGAAGCCCAGUGAUCUCACUUACACGGUUCUGUAGUGGCCUUCAUGCAACACCAGAAGCUGCAUCUGUCUUGAUCAUCUGGCACACAGUAGGUCAAAAACCACUUGCUGAAGGAGUAACUGGAGGUGUCCAGUUACCUGUUUGGUCCUUCAGCCGUGGGACAGGGAAUACCUCAAGAGCUGAGUCUGCGUCCAAUUCAUUCCUCAGAAAUGUUGGCCAUUCACCAAAAUGUCACAGACAGCACCUACCACCCAGCUCUUGGUCCUUGCGAGAUAGUCUGUAAGCGAGCUGAGGACCCAUACGUUCUAUGUGAAUAAAAGGAAAAGACUACACGGGCACAUUCCAGGGGCUCUGGAGUGGACAGAGGGAAGCCCGGGCAGCAGGGACUCGGGGUCACAAGGUGAAGCCCUGGAUGUGAGGCCAGAGCUGAUGGUCAAGUGAAAGGACAGGAAGUCAGACCAGGGGACAGAGGAGGAAGGGAGGAGAGUGUGAUGUGUGGAGUGAGGGUGGGGUGGAAGAAGAAGGUGACUGCGAACCUCUCCUGCAUGCCCUGCAUGUGCCAGGCCCACUGCUGGCCUCUUUACACUUGUCAUCUCAGGGACACCCAGGAGGUGGUGCUGCCAUCCCCACUCUACAGACAGGGAGCUGGGACCAGCGCAGGCCCACCAAGCCAGGUGGUUGUGAAGCCCAGGUGACUGCAAAGCUUGCUGUCCUGGCAGGAAGGGCAUACAGGGAGGCACUGGUGACAUUUUUACACUCCUCCCACACCAAGACAGAUAAUCUGAGGCCAGAGAUGACAGGAAUUGUCCCAGCUGCCACAGUCAGCAGGGUGUGGAGCUGGCCAGAGCCUCAUUUCCAGCUAGGAUGAGGUAUGGGCCUGGCAUCCUUGCCUGCACUCAGCAUCUCUGUGACCUAACCCUGGCAGUGGGCCAGGAACUCAGGGCUUAGAAACUGCAAACAGGACAUCAGAGACUGGGGCCCCAGGGCCUGUGGGCAGAGAGGCCUUACUCGGGUCAGUGUCUACUGUAUUCAGAUCUGUCCCUCCAAGGGAGCUGGCCAUCCCUCAGGGGCGGGGGACGGAGGCUGGGGAAUGAUGAUACCCUCUUCUGAGGGGCAGCCCGGUGUAACAUGCAGAGCACUGAAGCAGGGGCCCUGGGUUCAAAUCCUGCUUCUGCCCUGAUGGGGAGUGACCUCAUCCCAUCCAGUCCUGUGCCUGAGCUGAAGUGUCUUCACACAGGGAUGAUGAAUGUGCCUGGCAGCGCCAAGAGCAGAGCAAAACUGAUGAGGGACGGGAAAAUACUUCAAGACAGCGUACAUGGUGCACGUGACAAACUAAUCCUGAGAGGCUCAAAUGAGGAUCCCAGCCCCUGGCGCUCUAUCACACAAGCCUGGGGGCAGUCCAGCAAAAACCACCAUCACUUCACUAUGGACGAGAGGUCUCAGCUUGUGGCUCUCAGGCUGGGCACAGUUCAUGAAUGUGUUUUGUUGGCCACCACUUUUUAAAAUAUUCUGAGAAUGGUGGCUUGGAACACGGAACAGAGACCACUGCUGGCCCAAACUGCGGUCUGGCACAUGCCCUGGCCAUGAAGAGGAGAGAUGCGAGCUUCUUUCCUCUCCCCUGCAUAGCUUGCCAAGCAGUGCCAUGUCUGCACCCAAGAUCCGGGCCGGCAAACCCCAGGCCGCCAAAGCGGAACGUGUACACCUAACCACUGCGCCACGAGGCCGGCAACCCUCCCUGCGCCCCCAUAUCCUUUUAACACUUUCUAAGUUAGCUGGAGAACAGUUGCAACCAAAGUGUC